ACAGCGUGAACUCCUCAAGAGCCCUCCGGUCUGGGAGCACCACUGCCUGCUCCACACCUGGCAGCUGUUCCUGCAGAGAGGGACAGAACCCACGUCCAGCAGGGACUGUCCCUGUCCCUGGGAGCCAGCCCUGCACACCCAUGGCACCGCAGCAGCACCACCACCGGUGUCGUCGAGUUCCAGCCCCAGCACUUGCCACCCGCCGCCACACACACCACACAGGUUCCUUCACUGACAGAAAAUCAACAGAAAGCAAAACCCAACUGUGGGUUGAGGCAGAAAAUCAAACCAGUUGUUCAAGCCCUCAGUGACAGAGGCUCCUUCCAGCUGCUGCGCCAGCCUAUGACACGUGUAAACCAAAACAGCUCAGCUACUGCCAACAGAAGCUCUGCUCACUACAGCAGGUGCCAGGAGGACACCCCAAGUCCUCAGAAGCCUUCAGCUGUGUUGAACUCUGG